rnacentral:rRNA from 1 species
AAUGGCAAGUCGAGCGAACAGAGAAGGAAGCUUGCUCCUUUGACGUUAGCGGCGGACGUGAGUAACACGUGGGCAACCUACCCUAUAGUUUGGGAUAACUCCGGGAAACCGGGGCUAAUACCGAAUAAUCUAUGUCACCUCAUGGUGACAUACUGAAAGACGGUUUCGGCUGUCGCUAUAGGAUGGGCCCGCGGCGCAUUAGCUAGUUGGUGAGGUAAUGGCUCACCAAGGCGACGAUGCGUAGCCGACCUGAGAGGGUGAUCGGCCACACUGGGACUGAGACACGGCCCAGACUCCUACGGGAGGCAGCAGUAGGGAAUCUUCCACAAUGGGCGAAAGCCUGAUGGAGCAACGCCGCGUGAGUGAAGAAGGUUUUCGGAUCGUAAAACUCUGUUGUAAGGGAAGAACAAGUACAGUAGUAACUGGCUGUACCUUGACGGUACCUUAUUAGAAAGCCACGGCUAACUACGUGCCAGCAGCCGCGGUAAUACGUAGGUGGCAAGCGUUGUCCGGAAUUAUUGGGCGUAAAGCGCGCGCAGGCGGUCCUUUAAGUCUGAUGUGAAAGCCCACGGCUCAACCGUGGAGGGUCAUUGGAAACUGGGGGACUUGAGUGCAGAAGAGGAAAGUGGAAUUCCAAGUGUAGCGGUGAAAUGCGUAGAGAUUUGGAGGAACACCAUGGCGAAGGCGACUUUCUGGUCUGUAACUGACCUAGGCGCGAAAGCGUGGGGGAGCAAAACAGGAUUAAUACCCUGGUAGUCCACGCCGUAAACGAUGAAGUGCUAAUGUUAGGGGUUUUCCGCCCCCUUAGCUGCGCUAACGCCAUUAACUCCGCCCUGGGGGAGUACGG